rnacentral:lncRNA from 1 species
GAUGUUCGAAAAGCGAUUUCAUAAUUUAUAUUUUUAUUUUGGUGUCGAUUGCUAUUUUCAAAUUAUAUUAUUUGAUGGGUGUGAAUAUGCAAAGAUUCUUACUGGGUUGUAAAGCUCACAACUCCUUUCUAUUUUUUCUUCGAAGUUGCAAGUUACAUAAUAGUUGGCUAUGGUUAAGAUCACAGUUGAAAGGGAAAAAUAGAUAGAGCAUCAUUGUUACUGGUUGGAUGAAUGAAUUUAAUUCUAUACAAGUUUGUUACUUGUUAUGAAAUGAGAUCAUUUUUGUUUACGGAUAUUGAGGUUGUAAUAAAUUUUUCAGGCCUAGUAUAUUCUCUAGGGCUCUGCCUUAGGGAGUGUGCGGCCGUAUCACGUGGCCGGACCUAGGUGUCGGGUUCGGGGUGUAACAGUAACUGACUUCUGUUACUAAGAUUUGGUUCAGUUAUCAUGAGGUAACAAGGAUUAAAUAGGUCUUUUGAAUGCUCAUGUAUUGCACAUAUUUUCCAAACUGCUUGGAAAAGAGUUUCUGUCAUAAAUUAACGUUGCAAUGUGGAUUAGGAAUAUAACACCUGGAUGGCAAUCACUGUGGGUGUACUUUUAUCUUCUCAUCAGAUCUCCACAGAAUUCCUUAGAUACGUAAAUCUUUUGCUGCUUAUGUUCUAA